GGCCUCUUCCCGGCCCAUGGCCAUCGAUUCGCUGACACGACGCUCGCGGACAGCAGCCACCGCUCGAAUCUCCGCGCCGGCUCCGGCCACGGAAGUUCUCCCCCACCCACCAUCACCAUGGCUCAGGCUCCAGGCCGCGCCGCCUCCGCCGUGCGGCUCUUCGACGCGCACUGCCACCUGCAGGACCCCCGCAUCGCGGCGGCCGCCCCCUCACUCAUACGCGCCGCCACAGCCUCCGGCGUCGGCCGGUUCGCGGUCAACGGCACCUCCGAGAAAGACUGGCACCUGGUGAAGCAGAUGGCCCAGGAGCACCCGGCUAUCAUCCCCUGCUUCGGCCUCCACCCAUGGUGGGUGCCGGAGAGGUCGCCCGAUUGGAUGGAUUCGCUCCGGCAGUUCUUCUCGGAGACCCCAGAGGCGGCUGUUGGAGAGACUGGUCUGGACAAGGGAUCGCAUGGAAAAACUAUUGACUUCGGAGAACAGGUUGAAGUAUUCGAACGACAACUUGAACUUGCUAAGGAAUUGGAGAAACCUGUUUCUGUUCAUUGUGUACGUGCCUUCGGCGAUCUUCUGGAAAUACUAAAGCGUACUGGGCCUUUCCCAGCAGGUGUGCUGUUGCAUUCUUAUCUGGGGUCUGCAGAAAUGGUGCCCGGCCUUGCAAAUUUAGGUUGUUACUUUUCAUUGUCUGGUUUCCUUACAGGCCUGAAAUCCACUAAGGCAAAGAAAAUGCUCAAAGCAAUACCCUUGGACAGAAUUCUGUUAGAGACAGAUGCACCAGAUGCAGUACCAAGGUUGGACAAUGUUUCUCUAGUUACAGUCCCUGUGGACACUUCAGAUGCAGAUAUUGAAAUGUUCCAGGGCGAUUCGACCUCUCAGGCGGCUACCCCUUCAAAAGAAUCCUUGAAUCAUCCAGCUAACAUCCACAUUGUUUUGAAGUAUGUGGCAUCGCUGCUUGAAAUGCCGGAAGCAGAACUCGCCGAGGCGAGCUACAGGAACGCCACCAAACUGUUCUCCUACCCUGGAUCCAAAGUUCACCCCAAAGCUGAAACUGCGUGAAUGGGGUGGUGCGGGUGGCCAUCCAAUACGAACCAUGCUCAUCGGAAUCCUGGGCUUAGAUGGGGAAAUUAGCCUUCGCCCCCAACAAAUUUCUUCUAGCUCUGUGGUACACAUAAAGAGGGAGAAUACCGACACCUGGAAUUUCGGACCUGAAAAAGCUACGUCAGGCUACCUAUUCUGCACAAUUUCAAAUAAGUUGAAACUUUACGGGGGAUUUUUAUAGAAUAUAUAAGAAAUAUUGGA